AGCGAACGCUGGCGGCAGGCUUAAUACAUGCAAGUCGAGCGCCUGUAGCAAUACAGGAGCGGCAGACGGGAGAGUAACACGUGGGAACGUGCCCUUUAGUACGGAACAACCCAGGGAAACUUGGGCUAAUACCGGAUACGCCCUUACGGGGAAAGAUUUAUCGCUAAAGGAUCGGCCCGCGUCUGAUUAGCUAGUUGGUGGGGUAAUGGCCCACCAAGGCGACGAUCAGUAGCUGGGCUGAGAGGAUGAUCAGCCUCAUUGGGACUGAGACACGGCCCAAACUCCUACGGGAGGCAGCAGUAGGGAAUAUUGGACAAUGGGGGCAACCCUGAUCCAGCCAUGCCGCGUGAGUGAUGAAGGCCUUAGGGUUGUAAAGCUCUUUCGGCGGGGAAGAUAAUGACGGUACCCGCAUAAGAAGCCCCGGCUAACUUCGUGCCAGCAGCCGCGGUAA
rnacentral:rRNA from 1 species